rnacentral:misc_RNA from 1 species
GUUAGUAUAUCAGCUGUUCAGUCCACAAGUAGCAGCAAAUGUCCUUUCUAUGCUAGUGGGUCCCUAAGGAUGUAAGGAUGAAUUGAUUUGGCAGUAAGAGAAUUCAGGUCAGUAUACAGUUAAGUUAGGCUACAAGGUGUUGAGUAAUAUCAGAUUGAGUAUCAUGAAUUGUGGUCCCAAGCAAUCACACCUUUUGUCUGCUAAGGUAUGGAAGAAAACUUGGAAUUUGCCUUUACUUCCAAAACUAAAAGUGUUUCUAUGGAGAGCUACUCAGAAUGCUCUUCCAGUGUUGGAAAACUUGGUUAGAAGAGGUGUUAAAAAUCAGCCUAUAUGUGCAAUUUGUAAUGCAGCAAAUGAAUCUAUUAAGCAUUGCUUUUUCUGGUGCAAUCAUGCGCGAGCUACAUGGUUUAUUAGUCCUUGUGCUUAUAAACCAAACGAGAUGGGAUUCUAUUCGUUUGGUAGGUGGUGGUCUGAUAUUGUUCAAAGUCCAAAUCAUAUUGGAUUUAAAGCAGAUACAUUAGUUCAAAGUGUUACUACUUGUUGGUUCAUAUGGAAGGCCAGAAAUAUGGCAGUUUAUGAACAUUGCAUUCCCAAUCCCAUUGAUACUACUAAAAGAAUCAAAUUACUAGUCACUGAACAACAAAUUCUUGCAGGCAAUAGAUCCGAGUACUUGCAAAGCACAAAUUUAAGUCCUGCAACUUCUUCAGUGGCACAAUGCACUUGUCCUCCUGAGGGCUAUUUCAAAUAUAAUUGUGAUGUGGCUAUGAAGGAAGGGCAUUCGGAGGCAAUUAUAGCAGUGAUUUGUAGAAAUUCGGAAGGCAAGGUUGUAG